UUCAGCCUCUGUGACGUCAGAAGUCUUCAGCCUCUGUGACGUCAGAAGUCACAGAGGUCUUCAGCCUCUGUGACGUCAGAAGUCACAUGUUUUCAGCCUCUGUGACGUCAGAAGUCACAGAGGUUUUCAGACUGUGUGACUUCUGACGUCACAGAGGUCUUCAUCCUCUGUGACGUCAGAAGUCACAUGUUUUCAGCCUGUGUGACUUCAGAAGUCACAGAGGUCUUCAGCCUCUGUGACUCCUGACAUCACAGAGGUCUUCAGCCUUUGUGACGUCAGAAGUCUCUGAGGUUUUCAGCCUCUGUGACAUCAG